rnacentral:rRNA from 1 species
GAUGAACGCUAGCUACAGGCUUAACACAUGCAAGUCGAGGGGAAACGACAUCGAAAGCUUGCUUUUGAUGGGCGUCGACCGGCGCACGGGUGAGUAACGCGUAUCCAACCUGCCCACCACUUGGGGAUAACCUUGCGAAAGUAAGACUAAUACCCAAUGAUAUCUCUAGAAGACAUCUGAAAGGGAUUAAAGAUUUAUCGGUGAUGGAUGGGGAUGCGUCUGAUUAGCUUGUUGGCGGGGUAACGGCCCACCAAGGCGACGAUCAGUAGGGGUGCUGAGAGGAAGGUCCCCCACAGUGGAACUGAGACACGGUCCAAACUCCUACGGGAGGCAGCAGUGAGGAAUAUUGGUCAAUGGGCGAGAGCCUGAACCAGCCAAGUAGCGUGCAGGAUGACGGCCCUAUGGGUUGUAAACUGCUUUUAUAAGGGAAUAAAGUGAGUCUCGUGAGACUUUUUGCAUGUACCUUAUGAAUAAGGACCGGCUAAUUCCGUGCCAGCAGCCGCAGUAA